rnacentral:rRNA from 1 species
UACGUAGGGGCAAGCGUUGUUCGGAAUUAUUGGGCGUAAAGGGCGCGUAGGCGGUUCGGCAAGUCUCUAGUGAAAUCUCUGGGCUCAACUCAGAGUCUGCUGGGGAAACUGCCGGGCUUGAGUGUGGGAGAGGGGAUGCGGAAUUCCAGGUGUAGCGGUGAAAUGCGUAGAUAUCUGGAGGAACACCGGUGGCGAAGGCGGCAUCCUGGACCAAUAUUGACGCUGAGGAGCGAAAGCCAGGGGAGCAAAGCGGGAUUAAGAUGACC